CCUACGGGAGGCAGCAGUGGGGAAUCUUGCGCAAUGGGCGAAAGCCUGACGCAGCAACGCCGCGUGCGGGAAGAAGGCUUUCGGGCUGUAAACCGCUUUCAGCAGGAACGAAAAUGACGGUACCUGCAGAAGAAGGAGCGGCCAACUAUGUGCCAGCAGCCGCGGUGAUACAUAGGCUUCAAGCGUUGUCCGGAUUUAUUGGGCGUAAAGAGUUCGUAGGCGGUCAAGUAAGUCGGGUGUGAAAAUUCUGGGGCUCAACCCCAGAGACGCCACCCGAUACUGCUUAACUUGAGUUCGAUAGGGGAGUGGGGAAUUCCUAGUGUAGCGGUGAAAUGCGCAGAUAUUAGGAGGAACACCGGUGGCGAAGGCGCCACUCUGGAUCGAUACUGACGCUGAGGAACGAAAGCAUGGGUAGCAAACAGGAUUAGAUACCCUGGUAGUCCAUGCCGUAAACGGUGGGCACUAGGCGUGGGUUUCUAUUAACCGGAAAUCCGGCGCCGUCGCUAACGCAUUAAGUGCCCCGCCUGGGGAGUACGGUCGCGAGACGUAAACGUAAACGUAAGUAGACGGUCGUGUAGACGUUGUCGACGGACGACGACGAGGGAGAGG
rnacentral:rRNA from 1 species